rnacentral:rRNA from 1 species
UACAGAGGGUGCGAGCGUUAAUCGGAAUUACUGGGCGUAAAGCGCGCGUAGACGGUUUUGUAAGUCAGAUGUGAAAUCCCUGGGCUCAACCUGGGAACUGCAUUUGAGACUGCAUGGCUAGAGUAUGGAAGAGGGAAGUGGAAUUUCCGGUGUAGCGGUGAAAUGCGUAGAUAUCGGAAGGAACACCAGUGGCGAAGGCGACUUCCUGGACCGUUACUGACACUGAGGCGCGAAAGCGUGGGGAGCAAACGGG